UUAGCUCAGUGGUUAUUAUUACAGAGCAACUGUCUUACACGCAGUAGGUCGGGAGUUCGAAACUCUCAAG
rnacentral:ncRNA from 11 species